UAGGGAAUAUUGCAAAAUGGGCGAAAGCCCGAUGCAGCAACGCCGCGUGGGCGAUGAAGGCCUUCGGGUCGUAAAGCCCUUUUUGAGGGGAUGAGGAAGGACAGUACCCUCAGAAUAAGCCUCGGCUAACUACGUGCAAGCAGCCGCGGUAAAACGUAGGAGGCGAGCGUUAUCCGGAUUUACUGGGCGUAAAGCGCGUGCAGGCGGAUUGGAGAGUUGGAUGUGAAAGCUCCCGGCUUAACUGGGAGAGGUCGUUCAAUACUUCCAGUCUUGAGUGCAGUAGAGGGAAGUGGAAUUCCGGGUGUAGUGGUGAAAUGCGUAGAUAUCCGGAGGAACACCAGUGGCGAAAGCGGCUUCCUGGACUGUAACUGACGCUCAGACGCGAAAGCUAGGGUAGCAAACG
rnacentral:rRNA from 1 species